ensembl:lncRNA PRR34-AS1 PRR34 antisense RNA 1
CUCCCUGGGAAGGGAAAGGCCAGAGCAGCCGAUGCCGGUUCUGGGGGACGCCGGAAAGCCCAGCCUCCUCUGCACCUCCAUCCAGAACCGGGGGCCCCGCAGCACCUGCAGCAGGGGUGGAGGGUGGGAGGCAGAAGGGGCCUGGUGCUCUCGGAGGCUGCACCUCACGGUACCAGUCGCUACCCAGAGCAGCACGCCUGUUUGCUGGCCUGCUCUUGGGUGUUAAACAUGGUGUCCAGGUCCCCGGUUGGAGACCCCAGCCCUGUACCGGGUGAGGGUCUUAGCUCCCACUGACUUGGGGCCUUCAACCACACUGGCAUCCCAGGCCUUCCUCCUGACUGACUUCUGUUUUAAAAAUAAUGUGGAACGUUUUCUGGCAUCUGGUGAGGGAUUCACACACUGUUUACUGAGGGCAGGACUUAAGGAAUGAGUUCAGAAGGUAUCUAUCUGGUCACUGGACAAACGGCAGGCAAGCCCCCUGUGCUCCUCGCUGGGAGAAAGCAGCCUUCAAGGUCCCAGCACCCCCAAACCCACGAGCUCACACAAAACAACGCGAGCCACAAAUGCAAGCCACAUCUGUCAUUUAACACCUUCUAAUAGCCACAUUUUCAGAAAGUGAAAAUAAGCGGAUUGAGCUUCUAGAGCCUCAGAGAUGGAAUUCGCCGUUUUGCCGCGAUUUGGCGUUAACUUAUUGACCCAUGGGGAGGAGGGUCACUUCCCGUGAAAAGAAGGCAGAGAUGUUUUGCUGUGCCCAGUGUGAGGAAGCGAAGGAAAAGAAAGAUCUUUUGAAAAUGUGUACAUCUACUUGCAGCUUGAAAAUUCCAAGUGCCAGACAUUUUUCUUGGAGGAAAUAAAUGUCUUCAAUUUAUUCAUCUUA